rnacentral:rRNA from 1 species
GAACGGGUGAGUAACACGUGGGCAAUCUGCCCUUCACUCUGGGACAAGCCCUGGAAACGGGGUCUAAUACCGGAUACGACUGCGGGAGGCAUCUCCUGCGGUGGAAAGCUCCGGCGGUGAAGGAUGAGCCCGCGGCCUAUCAGCUUGUUGGUGGGGUAACGGCCCACCAAGGCGACGACGGGUAGCCGGCCUGAGAGGGCGACCGGCCACACUGGGACUGAGACACGGCCCAGACUCCUACGGGAGGCAGCAGUGGGGAAUAUUGCACAAUGGGCGAAAGCCUGAUGCAGCGACGCCGCGUGAGGGAUGACGGCCUUCGGGUUGUAAACCUCUUUCAGCAGGGAAGAAGCGAAAGUGACGGUACCUGCAGAAGAAGCGCCGGCUAACUACGUGCCAGCAGCCGCGGUAAUACGUAGGGCGCAAGCGUUGUCCGGAAUUAUUGGGCGUAAAGAGCUCGUAGGCGGCUUGUCACGUCGGAUGUGAAAGCCCGAGGCUUAACCUCGGGUCUGCAUUCGAUACGGGCUAGCUAGAGUGUGGUAGGGGAGAUCGGAAUUCCUGGUGUAGCGGUGAAAUGCGCAGAUAUCAGGAGGAACACCGGUGGCGAAGGCGGAUCUCUGGGCCAUUACUGACGCUGAGGAGCGAAA